rnacentral:rRNA from 1 species
GAUGAACGCUGGCGGCGUGCCUAAUACAUGCCAGUCGAGCGAACAGACGAGGAGCUUGCCCCUCUGACGUUAGCGGCGGACGGGUGAGUAACACGUGGAUAACCUACCUAUAAGACUGGGAUAACUUCGGGAAACCGGAGCUAAUACCGGAUAAUAUAUUGAACCGCAUGGUUCAAUAGUGAAAGACGGUUUUGCUGUCACUUAUAGAUGGAUCCGCGCCGCAUUAGCUAGUUGGUAAGGUAACGGCUUACCAAGGCAACGAUGCGUAGCCGACCUGAGAGGGUGAUCGGCCACACUGGAACUGAGACACGGUCCAGACUCCUACGGGAGGCAGCAGUAGGGAAUCUUCCGCAACGGGCGAAAGCCUGACGGAGCAACGCCGCGUGAGUGAUGAAGGUCUUCGGAUCGUAAAACUCUGUUAUUAGGGAAGAACAAAUGUGUAAGUAACUAUGCACGUCUUGACGGUACCUAAUCAGAAAGCCACGGCUAACUACGUG